CCGUGAAGACUUUUAAAAUAGAGACCAACGUGGCCGGGCAGGAAGAGCAGGGUCCCGCCUUCAGGUGUUUGGGACUCAGCUGAGGGUGUGGGUGCCCCGCGGUGGGGGCUGAACCUUCCUGGGGUGUGGAGAGACGAAAGGAGCCCAGAUCCAAGUUCCCUCGUUCCCGCUUUGGCAUAAGUUGCCCUGGCGGUCUCAUGAGAGAGAGAAAGAGCUGGGACCCUCCUCGCCCCAGUGAGUGUGAUGUCUUGCUCCGGGUGUCCUGGGGCAACUUUCUAUACAGGCGGGACGUGGGAGGAUCAGACAGUGUAACAUCAGACAAGGGUGUUGACUCUGCAGCACAGAACCAGUAGUUUGUGGAGAAGAAUGGAGGUGUGGUGUUGAAUCUGCUAGACAGGCUACUGAAGCAAAAGUCAAGAGAUCCAGAUUCCAUCAUGGGGACACUUUAGUUCUUCAUCGGGUAAUUGAGCUGAUAUCAGGUGUCUGAAGGAGGCAAGUUUUGAAGAUGUGGGUCAUGAUGGCUGCUGAAGCUUCCACUCCAUAUUUGAAGGUCAGCAGUUCUCAGGAAACCUCUAGCACUUCCAUCCCUGGUGGGAUGUGAUGCCUGUCUCAGUGUAACAUCAGAGAAGGGGUGUACUCUGUGCCCUAGAACUAGGAGCUAACAGAGAAAAACCAAAUGUGAUGUGGAGUCUGCUAGACAGGCUACUGGAGCAAGAGUGAAGCGAUGAAAGUCUCAUCAUUGGGACAUAUUAGUGUGACAUGCAUAAAGGAAUUUCUUAUUGAGCCCCAGGAAGAAGAAACACUACAUAAGAGCAAAUAAUAAAAUCGGUCAGAUAGACAGAAGAUGGGAGUCAUCAAACCUGUAUCCCUCUUGCCAGACCUAUCAACUGACCAUACGUCAUUCAGGAGGCAGCAGGUGGCUGAAAUCCUGGUGUGAUGUGGCUGGAUCAUGCAUGAUCUGAGGACUCCUGCACAGGUGACUGCAGGAUGAGUACAGAAUUUUUCUAUAAAUAUACUAAAAUACCAAGUAAGCCAGGAGCAGCCACUAGGCAAACACCAAACCUUGCAUUCCUGGCCAAACCUAUCACAGAGCUCAUCAGAUGCAGUGGAUCCCCAGGUUGCAAGUCAUAUAACCUGAGCAUGCCCAGAUGAACCAAGUAUGCCUGAUUGGUGAACCUGGAACUGGCCAGAACAGAAAAUGUCAACCACAUGUGGAAUCUAAGUAUUCAGAUUGAGAAAUGAGGACCAAAAUGAGAACACUGAGCUCCUCACACAGGUGACUGAACCCGUGGUUUUGGUGUCUGAGAAGAUGCAGCUUCUCCAGUCUCUGCAACUGACGGCAGGAAGAUGGGAGCACUCAGCUUCAGUGUUCAGAAGCAGAUUUAGGCCAAUUGCCAUACCUUACGUUCUGGAGGGAUCCACCCUGACCUGAGCAGAAGGCAUCACACACAUUCCCAAGCAGCAUGGUUCCCGUGAGAAACUGAAAACUAAUUUCUUGAAUCUACAAUGCGA
rnacentral:lncRNA from 10 species